rnacentral:rRNA from 1 species
GAUGAACGCUGGCGGCGUGCCUAAUACAUGCAAGUCGAGCGAACAGACGAGGAGCUUGCUCCUCUGACGUUAGCAGCGGACGGGUGAGUAACACGUGGAUAACCUACCUAUAAGACUGGGAUAACUUCGGGAAACCGGAGCUAAUACCGGAUAAUAUAUUGAACCGCAUGGUUCAAUAGUGAAAGACGGUUUUGCUGUCACUUAUAGAUGGAUCCGCGCCGCAUUAGCUAGUUGGUAAGGUAACGGCUUACCAAGGCGACGAUGCGUAGCCGACCUGAGAGGGUGAUCGGCCACACUGGAACUGAGACACGGUCCAGACUCCUACGGGAGGCAGCAGUAGGGAAUCUUCCGCAAUGGGCGAAAGCCUGACGGAGCAACGCCGCGUGAGUGAUGAAGGUCUUCGGAUCGUAAAACUCUGUUAUUAGGGAAGAACAAAUGUGUAAGUAACUAUGCACGUCUUGACGGUACCUAAUCAGAAAGCCACGGCUAACUACGUG